UGAUCUUUUUACUUUGCAUUAAUACUCUUUCUUAAAAUACUUAUGUAUCUUCUGUCUCUUCUCUGAUUUGGUAAUGUGGAGUUGAUCCUGAUAAAUGGAAUUGGAUUGGUACGUCCAUCUCUGCUUCUGUUUUUAAGGUUUUCUGGCGUCUUUUCAUAAACUGAUAGGAGUAGCAGGCGUGUUGGCUUGUUCAACUUUCCAAGGAUAAAGAGAUGCAAAGGAGUUAAUGUACCAGACAGGUGGCUUUGAUGGCAGUAUCUCGACUGUAAUCAAAGAAGAGAUCAUCCUUCUCUUCAUCAAGAACUGAUACCAACGCGUCCAUGAAGUCGUUCUCAGCAUUACUGUUGUCUGCUGCUCCGUGUGAUUGUGUCCGCGAUCUCUUUCUUUCUCGAUGCUCUUCAAGCCAUUUUUCAGCAAUCAAGUCCAUCUCUUUAGCUAUCCUCUUCAUGUGUUUCUUUUGCCCAUCUACAUCCAGCCUCCCAAGGAACGGAAGAGCAUCAGAUGCAACGGUAACUCCUGCUAGUCUGAAAUAUUCUGAGAUGGUCUUGUGAAGUUUUCACUCUUCUCUUUCUCUAUUUCAUUGUCAUCCUCAGUGUAGAGAGCCUUUCCUACAACCAACUUUAACACUGUAUUCAAGCUUUCGAUCUCUGAAUUUGUGACAUGCUUGAGCAGCUCGAGACGCCUAUGGGAGAGUAAUUGGAGAGUAGAGAUCUUACGCAUCUCACGCCAGUAAGGACCAUAAAAGGCGAAACCAACCAUGGCGAAGCCGUAACCGAGGUACUUUCCAGAAGCAGUAGGUGGACGACUUGCAAGAAACUUGUCGUUGACAGUGAAGCAUUCUUUAGACAUCUCCCAACUACUCACAACUAGCGUUGGAUACAUCCCGAACCGGACCAUGAAAAUACUUCCAUACUUGUCAGCCAUG